UGGAGGUGGGACUGUGUGCCCCUGCCCUGCUGCUGGGGGUGGAAUCAGGACUGGGCACCCCUGCCCUUCAGCUUACGGUGGGGCUGGGGUCAUGUGCACCUGUCCCACAGCUGGGGCUGCAACGGGGACCAUGUUCCCCACUCGUGGCUUCCCAGGGUCAUGCGCCCCCCGCUGUGGCCAGGGCUGUGCGCCUGUGGCUGGGGUUGGAGCCAGGACUGUGUGCCUCUGCCCCGCAGCCAGCCCCAGAGUGCGGGUUGUGUGCCCCCCAUGGUGGGGGAGCUCGGCUUGUCAGUCCCUGCCCUGGGACUUCAGCUGUCAUUCCUCCCCCCUCACUUAGCCCUCUCGCCCCCCUGAUUGUUUUUAGUAAAGUCACAGACAGGUCACGGACUCCCGUGAAUUUUUGUUUAUUGCCUGUGACCUGUCCACGACUUUUACUAAAAAUAACCGUGACAAAAUCUCAGCCUGAUUAAUCACAACUGGGAGCCAUUGUGUCUUGAGCAUAGCACUCUGCGCUCUCAUUGAGUCUCGUUAACGCUGGUUCUUGCGAAUAACCUGGGAUCUAGAGGCAAACUCACUGACUAACUUCCUCCCUUUGCCAUCUAUUCUCUUCAGCUUCUUCCACGGCAUCCAUCCCCUUGGAAUCUGAACACCUGCCCUUCGGGUUGUAUUUUGCAAGGAAAAGAGCUAGGAACUUUUGCUUUCAUGAAAGCCACAUUUAGCCCUGACCCAGCCAAGUCCCCAAAGCAGUCAACCCCGAAUCUGCUUCACAAAAUCCAAGCUCUAUCAAUCACCUUCCUGCAUCAUUUCUGCUCCCCUUUGCCCGAAUUCCUGUUCACUCCUGGAUCCCUUGUGUUUAUAUAAUGACCCUGCCUGCACUAUUGGUUCCAGUUUUUGAAAAUUUCCAUGAGAUCCCUUCCGAGUCUCCAGUUGUGCAACCACAAAGACGUUACCCCUUCGCUGUGAUCUUCCAGCUUGAUACAAUCUUUGCUGCCCUUUGUUCCAUUCUCGCCUGGGCUGUAAUCUCCCUGUGGUCUGGCGAUGGGGAUUGCCCAGGGAAUUCUAGCUUGGGAGGAGAGGGGCACCUGCGGCAGUAACAGCGUCAUCUCUGUCCUUUAAAGGGCUCGAUUUGCAAGAGGAGGGGCAUGCUGGCAUGUAGAAUAUGCUCAGUGCAAAGUGCAGUAAGGACACAUCCAUGCAGACCCUCAGAGCAUCCUCUGCCGUGAUGUCCGAGCCAGGUCUGGGCCUGUGGGAGAUUAGACGUGUCCAACAGAUUCAGGGUUUUAUAAAAUGGGGGAAAAUAAUAAAAUCUAAACUAAGCACCAGACCCCAGAGGCUCCAUUAGGAACGUCCCCAUUGCUACUGAUUUUACCCAGAAGGCACUCGUGUUCUUCAGUGAAGGGCAGCAGUCAAACAGCUUCAGAUAAGCCAAGUGGUGGGUGUUCUGGAGACAUGUCAAAGUACAGAAACAGCCAACGCUAGACAGAAUACAGGGCUGCUGUAUAGAAUCGCUCCACUAUGCACUUGUACCUAUUAGGGAGAGGCAGCAAAGUGUAGUGGUUAGAGCUGGGGUGGGCCUGGGUUCUAUUCCUGACUGCUAGUGACCUUGGGCAAAUUGCUGCAUGCCUCAAUUUGCCCAUCUAUAAAACGGUGGAUCAGAACCCCACAGCACUGAGAUCACCAAAUGGACUUAGACGCGAGCUAUAUUAAUGCUGCAAAGGAAUAUUAUGAGAUUUGUAUGUAAACACCACUUAGCUCGGUGGGAAAUGUGUUGCAUGAGCUGUGGCGUGCAAGCGGGAAGUAAAGUGUGCAAAAGAGCAUGUGCAGAGAACUGCCACUUGCACUGAUGCUGCAGGUGCAAUUCUGAACAUAAUUCUUAUUUUUUCUGUGCAAUUUUGCAGACCGGACCCCUCGACUGAGCAUUUUCCUGCACACCUCAGAAAAGGAGGUCUAUUUGGACUGCGGCCAGCAAAAUGAUUAGAAAAGCCUCUAUCUCCUUGGGAUCCUCUCAGCUUGCAGAGAAAAGGACAGCUUCUCCGGUGGGGACGAUGGAUUGCCUUGGCAAACCAGGACAGCAGUUUUAAAUGCUUGGUCGCAGAGCCAACACAGCUCUGACAGUCUGGAUUGACUUUUGUUUACAAUUUACAAAAAUAGACAAAGCAAAAACAAAAGGAAAUCUUCAUAUGAGAGAAAGAGAGAGAGAUAGCACAGUGUAUUCAACUCCUUCUGUAACAGCCAUCGUGAACUGACAAACAGCACUGCCUCUAGUGGGAAGACAAGAAGACUCAAUCCAUUUGAAGGUGCUGUACAUAUGAGAUGUUAUCUGAUUAAAAUAUGACCAUGUAGACCAUUGUUACUACCACUGUUAUAUAAUUGCAAUAAAUCUUAUACAUAGUGUGCCAUGUAAGGUGUCAGUGGAAAGGUUAUGAUUUGCUGAAUAUGAUUAUCCUAUUUGUACGCAUAUAUCCUUUUUGUAUCUGAAGUUAUGAAUAUUGACUAUGUACUUGUAUUUCAAAUGUAUUUGCUCCUAUGGUAGCACCCACAGGGUUAUUUGCAUCCUGUCUGGCCAGCCCAUUGUGAAUGGAGUAUUCAAGUUGAUGGCGCAUCAGUGAACACAACGGACCAUGGAAGAAGCCUAUCUACACCUGAUGGACUUUCCUGUGAACGUUCUAACUAGAGUAUGGGUAAUAUCCUCUGCUAUGACUCAGGAAAGUGUGCAAGGGCAUGUGACUAAAAUCAUGUGACCCUAAACUCCAUCUUGUUACAUGUAUUUUUCUACAAACUGGGCGGAGGGCUUUGUUUGGACCAAUGGGUUUCCCUCCACAUGGCAGAAGCUAGGAAAGGCGCUGGAAACAUCUCCAUUUUGCCUCUUUCCCACUCUAACCUCUGGCCUGUGGACUUACACUAAUGGGAGCAUUCUAACCAAGGCACUGAGAACCUUCCACAUUAUUUGGAAGCAACCAGAGAUUUAACAAGCCAGCAGCUUAUGCCAUCACUGCUACAAGCCUAAUCCAAGAACUUUGCAAUUAUUGUAUGUAUUUGAUUCCUUUAACCAAUUUUAAC